GUCUACGGCCAUGCUACCCUGAACAAGCCUGAUCUCGUCUGAUCUCGGAAGCUAAGCAGGGUCGGGCCUGGUUAGUACUUGGGUGGGAGACCACCUAGGAAGACCAGGUGCUGUAGGCA
rnacentral:rRNA from 1 species